CCUCUCGGAGACGCCGAGAUCAUCUCUCACGUCAUAGCGGGUCUCGACAUCGACUACAACCCUGUGAUAUCGGCGUUGGCUGCAAGGACCGAACCGGUCACUGUCCAGGAGUUGUACAACCAGCUUCUCAGCUUUGAUG
rfam:Hordeum vulgare subsp. vulgare, WGS project CAJW01000000 data, contig: morex_contig_2229345